rnacentral:rRNA from 1 species
UACGUAGGGUGCAAGCAUUAAUCGGAUUUAUUGGGCGUAAAGGGCGCGUAGGCGGAUUGGCCAGUCAGUUGUGAAAGCCCCCAGCUCAACUGGGGAAUUGCAAAUGAUACUACCGAUCUUGAGGGUAGGCGGAGAGAACGGAAUUCCACGUGUAGCGGUGAAAUGCGUAGAUAUGUGGAAGAACACCGGUGGCGAAAGCGGUUCUCUAGCUUACACCUGACGCUGAGGCGCGAAAGCAAGGGGAGCAAACAGG